UGCCGGAAAGAUGGUUUUGAGACUGCUCCCCCUAUCAUUGCGAAUUAAAUGCGAUUGAAAUGGUGAAAUCUUACGUAAAAUCAAACAACACAACAUAUAAGACUACUGACGUCAAACAUCUGCUUCACCAAGCCCUUGACAUGAUAAAACCAGAAAAUUGGCAGUUUUUCAUAAGACACGUGAAGGACGAGGAACAAAAGUUUUGGGAUGUCGACUUUCUUUGUGAUGAGCUUAUAGAUGAACUCCAACCCAACCAGAGUCAUAUUUUAACAAUUGGUGAAUCAACUGACUCGUCCGAUGACGAAGACGAUUUGUUUACAAGACCCCAAUCC